CAGAUUGUUUUUACUAUACCUGCAAAAUAUCUCCCACCUGUGAGCUGUCACAAAAGAUGCAUUCAAAGACAUGCUCAGUGGGCUGGUAAGGACCCAGGAAGGGCUGUCCCACUGGGAGCUCCCAGCAUCAGCAUCCUCUCCUGAAUUUUCUCUGACAUCCAUCGGGGUGUGCAAGACUUCUAAAGGCAGAGUCUUGCUAAAGUCACUAAAGUGGGAGACAGAGGAAGAGGGAAGGAUUCAAUAAACCCACAAUCUGAGAAGGACCGAGAUGAGUUCUGUGAGAAUUUCUUAUUUGCUGGGCUCCUUUGGAUUAGUCUAAUAUGUUAUCUCAAUUAAACCAUAUUGCAACACCAUUAAGUAAAUACAAUUAAUAGUUAUUUUGAUGGUUAAGACCAUCAGAU
rnacentral:lncRNA from 1 species